GAGAUAGAAGAAAAGAAAAGAAAAUGGAGGAGAGACAGAGACAGGACAAUUUAGUGUAAUGAUGCAUUUCUCUUCGGUGGAAAUGCACCGCGAGCAACAAGAUCAACAGAUUGAUCCAAAACCGAUACAACACUACUACUAUUAUGAUGUCUAACGUCUUUGAACGAGAGACAUGACUCUUUUUUGUAGAUAGGUUACGAAGGAGAAAAAGUAAUCUAGAUUAGAUAAUUAAUACGCAACAAGGAAAAACAAAGUUAAACGGUAACAGAAAAAAAAACAAAACAACCAAUACAUAUUAUUUACAUUACUUAGAAUUAACCGGGGAAUAAGUAGAGGUUCUAGUGAUGAGAUGAAAAAAAAGAAUAUUCAGAUAAUGAUAUAUAGUGCAUACACUACAUUAUAAAUAGUGUGAUUAUAAAGGAAGAAAAAAAUGAAAUGACAGAAACAAAGAAAGCGAGAACAGACACCAAACGAAAAAAUAGCGCGUAACUCUCAUUACACGAGUCGUAAGAAGAAGAAAACAACAAAAGAUAAAAAAUAUACCAAGCGUAAUGGAUAAGUAAGUUGCUCAUGUGUAUAUUUUUGUAAAUAGGUAUUUGCGAGUGCCGCCGCCUUGAGGGUGACCUGUCGACGUUUAAAACGGACGCGACAGGCCGGCCCGCCCCAAUUUUUGCUACCACAAAUGUUAUCGAAAAUCAAGAAAUUUCUGGUAAAAAGAAAAGAUAAAAAUAUUAAAAUACACAUACACAAGAUAUUACAUGUCCACCGAAUUUGUCCUAGAAGUUUUUUCCGAAGUCCAAUUCUUCAGAAAUGAUUGUAUUAUGUUAAAUUUUUUUUUUGUACAUAUAUACAUUUUAUUAUCGCUCGUAUUAUUAUUACUAUUCUUUUAUUGUUGUAUCUUUUACGUUCGAUUCAAUUGACCACCCUUCAUCCGCCUCUCGCGAAUCGGUUAUCGUAUUUGUUCGAUACGCUUCCUUUUCUUUUCGUUGUUCCGUCACCGACAAAAUGAAACAAAAGAACGAAAAAAGAAAAAGAAGAAAAACCGUUAUGUCGCAAGAUACGCACGCAAUUUAGUGUUUUUCCUAUGUUUUCGCAGCUAUGAGAAUGUAGGCUUAAAAGUAUACGAGGAUCGAGUGUAAAAGGAAGAGAGAAGUGAAAAGAUAAACGUUUUACCUUUCUCGAUAAAACGGCGAAUUCGAUUUGAUCAGACCAUUGUAACGAGACGAGAGCAGGAAGAAAAUAGCAAGUGGAAACGUGUUAGCAGUGAAUUGCCUAGCGAGCGAGCAUUCAACUGGGAGUUAAUAAAUCGUUCUUCGGACCAGGAUCGUAACGAGCAAUUUAUCUCGACAAUUAGUUAAAACAUAUCGAAAUUGAAUCGAAUUAAAUUCCAAAACUCCCGGGAGCCUUUCCGUUAGAGUUUCUAAUAAUAAUACGGAACGUGAGAGAUGUUGGACCAAUCUAUAAUCCGUAGAGACGUUUGAUCAUAAUGCGCUGUCGGUCAAUUAAUUGCUAACGCUUUCCUACGAGUAGGGUGCAAGUAAAAAGGAAAAAUAAAUGAACGAACGAAUGAAAAGAAAGAAAAGAGGAACGAAAGAAGCAAACACGGCGGAAAAAAUGCUGGAACCGUGACAAAGGGAUCGAACACGAGUUGACGAGACUUAGGGGGGCCCAUAUAGAGUUACUUAGCGCGGUCCAAUGGUUCACGGGAUACAAUUUUAUACCUCGUGUGCGCGUGCACACGGACUGAAGGAUAAAAGAAACUAAAAAAAGAGGUCUAUUAAAAAAAAAAAGUUUUGAUAUUUUCGAGACACAUAUUUAUAGUGGAUACGUAUAAUAUCAGGCCUUUCGCUCUCGUCAGCUCGUGCUGUGAAAACGUAAAGACGAAUACGCGAUACAAUGCACACGUAUAUUAAUAUAUACAGAUGUGUAGGUCGAGAAUUUUGAACGAAAUUUGCAACACGUAUAAUUCGGCUGUUGUAAUGAAAUCGAACGUGUCCGCGCUUUUAUCGAGAAAUUAAGAAAAGUUGAUCGAUCUAGCAUAAGUACUCGAUCCAAAACCACCCUCCCCAACCACGAAAUACAAGAAUGGACUGAUCGACAGGCUUAAUACGAGCAAUGAAAGAAAAAAAAGAGCAUUAACCAUUGAAGAAUCCUUUAGUUGUUACUUAAGCUAACUUAACCACUUAACCUUUACCGCUUUGAUAGGAAUGGAAAUGAAUUUGAAGAACAGGAUCGGGGAGCAGUGAGACCGUGUUACGUGGGUGUGCGAAUGCGUCGAUCCGAUCGUUCGAUCUUUUGACCCGUACGGUUCGUGAACGUACGCAACAUCGUUUUCCCGGUCUCGACGAACGACGUUCACGAUUGUCAGGCGAUCUGUGGGGAACUGCCACGCACAAUUCCGCGAUCGACCAGAUUGGAUUCUAACUUUCUCGUUUACCGAUCGUAACAUCUUUGUUAACAUUUUGCACAUAGCGAAAAUUAUAAGGUAGCGACGCAGUUGCAACGAAGCUCUCCAAUUGCUUCGACCGCAAAGGUUCGAUCGACAGAAUCUUUCCGGGAACGAGAGAAAACGGAGGAGAAAAUGCGACGUUAAGAAAGCAUCGAAGGAUAAGAAACAGAGAACAAGUUUGCUAGUAAAUUUUGACAGAAAAAUUGUACAGGUCGUCGUGUUCGCAGCAUUCGGUCGGAGUUCGGGGAACGAAUGCUGAGAUCUAUGGUCGAUCGCGCGAUUCCAGGGCAGAGGUCUUCUCUUUCUUUCCGCUUUGUUGGAUCUUGUUCGAAGGAAAACGCGAAGAUCGCGAUUGCGAAGCGAAAUAAUAUCGGUUUAUGUCGGACAGAUUCGCCUCGAGACCGAUCUGAUACGCGCUAACGAGCUACGGUUAGGGACGGGGGAGAAAGGAAAGGAAUGAAAGGAAACGAGAAUGAAACAGAACGGGGAAGAAGAAAGACCGUGACAAUAUAUACAUAUAUACAUAUAUAUACAUAUAUAUAUCGAUAUAUUUGCGAGAUAUUUUGCGAGCAGGGCUUUUUUAUCUAUUUUAUAGUAACCUCAGCUUAAGCGGAUUGAGAGGGAGGGAGAGAGUGAGAUUGUUUUGCUAAACGAGAGAAACAAAAGAAAACGCAAACACGGCGAUUCAAACGAGAGAAUAAAGAAUGGAGAGAAAAAUAGGAGUGCAGAGACAAUGAGAGGAGGAAAAAUAUAAUUGCAACAAAAUGGAUAGGAGAGAAGGGGAGAGAGAUAUAAUGCGCAGCUGACAAACGGUUUGUAAAUUGCGUACAUAAAAGAUAGAUAAAUAACCGUUGACUAAAAGAAAAGUGAUGACGGUUUUACUAUGUCGUAUACUCUACGUUUUGUUUGUUUUGCGCCUUUGGCUUGCAUUACAAUUAAUUUGAUUAUUAUAAUAAUAAUGAUAAUUAUUAUUAUUA